rnacentral:rRNA from 1 species
UACGAAGGUCCCAAGCGUUGUUCGGAUUUACUGGGCGUAAAGAGUCUGUAGGCGGUAGAGUAAGUCAGAUGUGAAAUCCCGGGGCUCAACCCCGGAACGGCAUCCGAUACUGCUUUACUUGAGGGUUGGAGGGGAGUCUGGAAUUCUCGGUGUAGCAGUGAAAUGCGUAGAUAUCGAGAGGAACACUAGUGGCGAAGGCGAGACUCUGGACAACACCUGACGCUGAGAGACGAAGGCCAGGGGAGCGAAAAGG